rnacentral:rRNA from 1 species
UACGUAGGGUGCAAGCGUUGUCCGGAAUUAUUGGGCGUAAAGCGUCCGCAGGUGGCCUAUCAAGUCUGCUGUCAAAGACCGGGGCUUAACCCCAGAAAGGCAGUGGAAACUGAAAGGCUAGAGGAUGGUAGGGGCAGAGGGAAUUCCCAGUGUAGCGGUGAAAUGCGUAGAGAUUGGGAAGAACACCGGUGGCGAAAGCGCUCUGCUGGGCCAUAACUGACACUCAGGGACGAAAGCUAGGGGAGCGAAUGGG